UUGUGUGGUACAGUUGGUAUCUGAUCAGAGUCCUGUCUUCAGUACUUUGAAAAGGAUCGGUUGGAAGACUUAAAAUAGGU